AUUGAACGCUGGCGGCAUGCCUUACACAUGCAAGUCGAACGGCAGCACGGGGGGCAACCCUGGUGGCGAGUGGCGAACGGGUGAGUAAUACAUCGGAACGUGCCCGGUAGGUGGGGGAUAGCUCGGCGAAAGCCGGAUUAAUACCGCAUACGACCUGGCGGGUGAAAGGCGGGGGAUCGCAAGACCUCGCGCUAUCGGAGCGGCCGAUGUCAGAUUAGGUUGUUGGGUGGGGUAAAGGCCACCAAGCCGACGAUCUGUAGCUGGUCUGAGAGGA
rnacentral:rRNA from 1 species